GACCCGUCUUGAAGCACGGACCAAGGAGUCUAACAUGUAUGCGAGUCAUUGGGAAUGUUAAACCCAAAGGCAUAAUGAAAGUAAAGAAUUCGAUUGCGGAUUUGAGGAGAGAUCAUGUGCAUUUUUGUGAGCUGUGUAAAAACAUGUUUGCUAAUGUGCUGCGCAUCUCCUGGACGUCUAUACCUCUGAAGGUUGGGCGUACCAAGAGCAUACACGUUGGGACCCGAAAGAUGGUGAACUAUGCCUGGUCAGAACGAAGUCAGGGGAAACUCUGAUGGAGGUUCGUAGCGAUUCUGACGUGCAAAUCGAUCGUCGGAACUGGGUAUAGGGGCGAAAGACUAAUCGAACCAUCUAGUAGCUGGUUCCCUCCGAAGUUUCCCUCAGGAUAGCUGGCGCUUGAUUAAAUCAGUCUCAUCCGGUAAAGCGAAUGAUUAGAGGCCUUGGGGCCGAAACGACCUCAACCUAUUCUCAAACUUUAAAUGGGUGAGAAGUCAGGCUUGCUUAAUCGAAGCUCUGACAAUGGAUGGUGAGUGCCAAGUGGGCCACUCUUGGUAAGCAGAACUGGCGCUGUGGG
rnacentral:rRNA from 1 species